rnacentral:rRNA from 1 species
GUCUAUGGCCAUACCAGCCUGAACACUCCUGAUCUCAUCUCAUCUCAUCUUAGAAGCUAAGUAGGGUCGGGCCUGGUUUGUACUUGGAUGGGAGAUAGUAAGUGAGUAGACC